CCUACGGGUGGCUGCAGUAACGAAUCUUCCGCAAUGGGCGAAAGCCUGACGGAGCAAUGCCGCGUGUGGGAUGAAGUAUCUUUGGUAUGUAAACCACUGUCAGGGGACGGAAACACUGAUUGUCCCCAAAGGAAGUGGCGACUAACUCUGUGCCAGCAGUCGCGGUAAUACAGAGGCCACAAGCGUUAGUCGGAAUCACUGGGCUUAAAGGGUGCGUAGGCGGGUCCGUAAGUGCUUUGUGAAAGCCCCCGGCUCAACCGGGGAACUGCAGAGCA
rnacentral:rRNA from 1 species